GACGAACGCUGGCGGCGUGCCUAAUACAUGCAAGUCGAGCGAAUCAAUAGGAGCUUGCUCCUGUUGGUUAGCGGCGGACGGGUGAGUAACACGUGGGCAACCUGCCUGUAAGACUGGGAUAACACCGGGAAACCGGUGCUAAUACCGGAUAAUCCUUUUCCUCUCAUGAGGGGAAGCUGAAAGUCGGUUUCGGCUGACACUUACAGAUGGGCCCGCGGCGCAUUAGCUAGUUGGUGAGGUAACGGCUCACCAAGGCGACGAUGCGUAGCCGACCUGAGAGGGUGAUCGGCCACACUGGGACUGAGACACGGCCCAGACUCCUACGGGAGGCAGCAGUAGGGAAUCUUCCACAAUGGACGAAAGUCUGAUGGAGCAACGCCGCGUGAGCGAUGAAGGCCUUCGGGUCGUAAAGCUCUGUUGUUAGGGAAGAACAAGUAUCGGAGUAACUGCCGGUACCUUGACGGUACCUAACCAGAAAGCCACGGCUAACUACGUGCCAGCCGCCGCAGUAACAC
rnacentral:rRNA from 1 species